rnacentral:piRNA from 1 species
UAAAGCUGUUGCCUGUUUGUGGAAUCUGCUU